rnacentral:rRNA from 1 species
GACGAACGCUGGCGGCGUGCUUAACACAUGCAAGUCGAACGAUAAGGCCCUUCGGGGUACACGAGUGGCGAACGGGUGAGUAACACGUGGGUGAUCUGCCCUGCACUUCGGGAUAAGCCUGGGAAACUGGGUCUAAUACCGGAUAGGACCCUGGGAUGCAUGUCCUGGGGUGGAAAGCUUUUGCGGUGUGGGAUGGGCCCGUGGCCUAUCAGCUUGUUGGUGGGGUGAUGGCCUACCAAGGCGACGACGGGUAGCCAGCCGGAGAGGGUGACCGGCCACACUGGGACUGAGAUACGGCCCAGACUCCUACGGGAGGCAGCAGUGGGGAAUAUUGCACAAUGGGCGCAAGCCUGAUGCAGCGACGCCGCGUGAGGGAUGACGGCCUUCGGGUUGUAAACUUCUUUCAGCACCGACGAAGCGCAAGUGACGGUAGGUGCAGAAGAAGGACCGGCCAACUACGUGCCAGCAGCCGCCGUAA